rnacentral:rRNA from 1 species
AACGAACGCUGGCGGCGCGCCUAAUACAUGCAAGUCGAGCGAGAAGACGUAGCAAUACGUUUGUAAAGCGGCGAACGGGUGAGGAAUACAUGGGUAACCUACCCUCGAGUGGGGAAUAACUAGCCGAAAGGUUAGCUAAUACCGCGUACGCUCCUUGGACUUCGGUUCAGGGAGGAAAGCGAUACCGUGGGUAUCGCGCUCUUGGAUGGGCUCAUGUCCUAUCAGCUUGUUGGNGAGGUAACGGCUCACCAAGGCUUCGACGGGUAGCUGGUCUGAGAGGACGAUCAGCCACACUGGCACUGCGACACGGGCCAGACUCCUACGGGAGGCAGCAGUAAGGAAUAUUGCGCAAUGGGCGAAAGCCUGACGCAGCGACGCCGCGUGA